AGCAGCCGCGGUAAUUCCAGCUCCAAUAGCGUAUAUUAAAGUUGUUGCAGUUAAAAAGCUCGUAGUUGAAUUUCGGGAUCAGUUGAUCGGUCGUGCCUCGGUACGUACUGGUCAAAUUGAUUCCUACCUUCUGACGAACCACGAUGUCAUUAAUUUGGUGUCGUGGGAAAUCAGGACUGUUACUUUGAAAAAUUAGAGUGUUUAAAGCAGGCUCGCGCUUGAAUACAUUAGCAUGGAAUAAUGAAAUAGGACGUUUGAUUCUAUUUUGUUGGUUUCUAGGAUCGACGUAAUGAUUAAUAGGGAUAGUUGGGGGCAUUAGUAUUCAAUUGUCAGAGGUGAAAUUCUUGGAUUUAUUGAAGACUAACUACUGCGAAAGCAUUUGCCAAGGAUGUUUUCAUUAAUCAAGAACGAAAGUUAGGGGAUCGAAGACGAUCAGAUACCGUCGUAGUCUUAACCAUAAACUAUGCCGACUAGGGAUCGGAUGAUGUUAAUUUUUAAUGACUCAUUCGGCGCCUUAAC
rnacentral:misc_RNA from 1 species